rnacentral:rRNA from 1 species
GACCGGAUGAGUAAAGUGGCGCACGGGGUGAGUAACACGUAGCUAACCUGCCCUGGAGUGGGGGAUAACCUGGGGAAACCUGGGCUAAUACCGCAUAACAUCCUGAUGGCGCAAGCCGUUUGGAUCAAAGGCCCGCAAGGGUCGCUUGAGGAGGGGGCUGCGGCCGAUUAGCUAGUUGGCGGGGUAACGGCCCACCAAGGCGACGAUCGGUAGCCGGCCUGAGAGGGCGCACGGCCACACUGGCACUGAAACACGGGCCAGACUCCUACGGGAGGCAGCAGUGGGGAAUUUUGCACAAUGCCCGAAAGGGUGAUGCAGCAACGCCGCGUGAGGGAUGAAGGCCUUCGGGUCGUAAACCUCUUUCGACCGGGAAAAACGGGUGGGUGUAGAUCCAUUCUGAUGGUACC